rnacentral:lncRNA from 1 species
CUGGGAUUGCAGGCAUAUGCCACCAUGCCCAGCUAAUUUUGUGUUUUUGGUAGAGAUGGGGUUUCUCCGUGUUGGUCAGGCUGGUCUCGAACUCCCAACCUCAGGUGAUCUGCCUGCCUCAGCCUCCCAAAGUGCUGGGAUUACAGGCGUAAGCCACAGCGCCCAGCCAUGCCCUGCAUUUUUACAAAUUCCUUGGUGUUUUGAGGUGCAUCCUCCAUAGUGUGGUAAAACCUUGGCAUCAUAAAACUUUGGUUAGACAGAAAUUAAUUAGAACACUUCAUUUAAAAGAAUUUCUUUGAUGCAUCAACUUCUUUCCUCUCAGCUCCAAAUCUCUGCACUGCUCUGUUCUGUGAUGCUGGAGCUGGGCCCUGUAAACAUUUCUCCUUUGCAGCUGGCAGAAUGUUAAGCUUUGUCUACAGGGCUGGGAGGCCACUGCAGGAGGAAAGUGCUUCUCUCUUCUUUGUUCCCAUGUGAUUUUCCUUCUCUUGGGGUACUUGGCAGCCAGUGGGUGCAGGAAUCCCAAAAGUGCUCAGCUGCCCAGGGAGUCUCACAGGCAACCCGGAAGGUGGUUUCUUGCAUCCUGACGCUGACUUGCAGAACCUCGGUGAACUUCUUUACCAUCUAGGAGGUGAUAGCUACAUCCGAGUGAAGUGACUCCAGUGAAGUCAGUCUUGAAGAGAGGGCUCUUCCGAAUUUGUUCCUUCCUUGGGUACUCAGCCAUAGCCCUGGGGCAAGCAUUCUCAGUGGGGGUGAAAAUUGGUUUUUGUGGGGGUAGGGAGUGUGUGUGAAAUAAUCUUAGGUUAUUCCUCCAAAGGGCCACAGUAGACACACAGAUAUACUGUGUACCUGUAGAAUUAAGGUUUCAUGGGGAUGUAGGGACAGGUGGUGAUAAGGGGCAAAAAAUAUCUAAAAAUAUCUCCUUACAGGGGCAAAUUUCUUUUUAUAAGUUGAGAAACUCUGGUCUAGAGAGUAGCAGCUGCUCUUUAUAUCCACCAUUCUUGUAUUCUUAAGAGUUAUGUUUAUCCCUUAGUAGUUAAUCCCAUUUCUAGUUAAUAUACUUUCAAUUUUCCCUGUUGGACUUACUGUGUGAUUGUCUUCUGGCUGGACCUUGACUGAUACAGUGCACUUGACUUUUAUGGAAAAAAGGCAAAUAAUAAUUGAAAAUAUGCUAAAAUCAAAGGCUUGAAUUUUUAAAAUUCUAGGACAUUGUCUUUUUUUUGUUGUUUUUGAGAUGCAGUCUUGCUCUGUUGCCCAGGCUGGAGUGCAGUGGCAUGAUCUGGGCUCACUGCAACCUCCGCCUCCUGGGUUCAAGCGAUUCUCCUGCUUCAGCCUCCUGAGUAGCUGGGACUACAGGCACUUGCCACCACCCCCAGCUAAUUUUUGUAUUUUUAUUAGAGACGGGGUUUCACCAUGUUGGCCAGGAUGGUCUCAAUCUCUUGACCUCAUGAUCUGCCCACCUCGGCCUCCCAAAGUGCUAGGAUUACAGGCGUGAGCCACCGUGUCCAGCCCUCUAGGACAUUUUCUAUAGCCUGUAGAGCUCAAUCCCCAGCUACUUACAUCUUGCACAGUUUGGAAUGAUGACAUUGGGACCAUGACAGAUGAUGAAUGGCCAAAGUUAGGUUGCUAGUCUGUACUAGCCUUUCACUAGUACAAUGCAUUCUAUAUGGAUACUGAACACAUUUUUCGUUUAUAACUAUUUUAUAAAGUUCUUAUAAAUGCUAAGCUCCAUAAUAACAAUAAUAAUAAUAAUAAUAAUAAUCAUCAUCAUCAUCAUCAUCAUCAUAACUAACAUUUAUUGGGCACUUACUAUGUGCCAGCACUAAUCUAAGCUCUAUCACUCUGGUAACAGGGCUGCAAAUGAAUGGGAAAAAGCUGAAAAUACAUAAGCCAGGAAGCCAGUUAGGAGGUUGCUAUAAAAUUCCAGGUAUGAGAUGACAGUGGCUUGGACUAGGGUGAUAGCACGGAGAUAGCAUGCUGUUGGCUUAGUAAGGCCCAGAGCAGAAAGAGCUUUCUAUCCUCUUCAGCCACAAAACAGUCUGUAGCAGAGGGGUCAUUCAAUCCACUUACCAGAGAAACAGGGCUAGAGAAAGAAACAAAAUUUAUUUGUUAAGUUCCUAUAAUAUGGCCAGUACUGUGUUACACAACAUUAGGGGUACCAACAAUAAUCAUAUAUUUAUGAGUACCUUAUGACUUGGUGGAAGAUAUUUCACGCCAACAAGGAAUUCAAACCCAGAAUAUACAAUAGUGCUCCUUAUCUGCAGGGGAUACAUUCCAAACUUUGCCAAGUGUAUGGAUACCCUUGUAAACUCAAUUCCAUAAACCAAAGCCUAAAUACGGCCUCAUUUAUGAAACUAGAAGUGCAGUGUAAAACCAAGAAUAAAGAGAUUGCAGUGUCAGAUCAGUGACCCUAGCGUGGUUAUUUCGUUCACCAUGAAUAUUAAAACAUGAAUCUAAAGGUAACAAAAAACCUUCUAUAAUUUUAAUUUGGCUGGUUCUUUUGAAAACAUUCUUUAUAGUAUAGUUCGGUUUGUAAUUUCAUCAAGUAUUAAUCUAGGAACUCAAAAGGAAGGAAACAGAAUGCCACUUAGCCUUAGCUACAAGUAGGACCUACUCAUAAAGAAAACACACUUCAGCUCUCCCUCUUUGUUUCCUUGUUUGACUUUCUGGGAGAUGUCAUCAAUGUUCUCAUGCUUUUCUUUUCUGCUUUUAAAUUCAGUGAUUGUAUUGUAAAUUCCCAAAUGCUUUUUAAAAAUAAUUUUCUUCAGUACCCUGCAUCAUCUUGGUUUCCUCUGAGUUCCUUUCUGGUUCGUUUGUUACCUUUGAUACUGUGAGCUUUUCCCAAUUACCUGGUGAUUCUUGGGUUUUUGUUCUUUUUGUAUGUGCAUUUACAUGACAGAAAUAAACUAAAAAGAUAUAUUGGAAGGCCUUGCUGGAGUGAGGAGGACAGGUCAAAUGGUGGGUUUCACUUAUGGUGAUCGGUUGGUACACCAGCCUUUUUAUUGGCCGACUACCAAAUGUCAGUAUGAGAGAGUAAAGCAACUUAGUUUCUCCACAGAAGAAACUAAAUUCUCCCAUCUUAAGUUGCAUUUUGUGAGCAAGGUGUAGAAAUGAGUCUGACCGUCCACCGUUCAGCCAGAACAUUUAGGCUGAUGCAGCCAAGGUAAUUCAGAUUAGAUGUCUGUAACAUGUACAUCUGCAUUAAAAAAUAGUCUGAAAGUACGUAUACCAAAAUGUUAAACUAGUUAUCUCUUAGUUGUGGAUUCAUGGGUUAUUUAAAUUCUCUUUUUUUCUUAUCUAAAUUUUC